CCAAGUUAAUCAUGAUCAAGCAAAAGGAAACUUUAACCAUGACUUAACCAUCUAUCUAAUACCCUCUUUCGUUUUUUCUCUCUAGAAUUCUCUGAAACAAAAUUUCCACCAAUUUCAAAUCACUUUCGGUGGCCGGUGGCGUUAUACUGCCGGUCAUCAACCUUUCUUUUGUUUUAUGUUUCCUUGUGUAAGAUAGUUUCAGUAAAAUAGUUUCGAUCGACUUUCUAGUUCGCUUGGCGAUCUUCACUUCGUGUUGGCGAUUAUCCUUCGUUAGACGAUUUUUAUUGUACAAUCUUCGCAUACAGAGUUUUAUGGCGGAGUAUCCUUAGCGGGUUUGAGAUUAAGUUAUUUGAUUAAGCAAAGAGAGAGGAUGCAGGUUCAGAUUAGCUGGAGUUUCUUCAUCGGAAAUGUUCUGGCAAGACCCCGCCUUAAUCUCUCCAAAUCUUUUCACUGGAACUCACUUCAAUCAAGUGGAUGAAGAAUCGAGCAAGAUUGACGGCGAACAGGGAUAAGAGGAGCGGUCAAGUAGAUUCAACUACUCAAGGAAAGCUGCUGAAGGUUUCCUGUCCCGGCAAGUUUCCGGCGAAGCCAACGGAGCUGCUCUUUGACUCCAGAAAUGUCGAGACUCAUCUAUCUGUACAUGUGCUGUUCAUUUUCUGUAGUUGUAUUAUUAUUGAACACGUGUUUUCCUUAAUCUUAUCUUUUGUUUGUUUGGA